GACGUAGGGCGCGAGCGUUGUCCGGAUUUAUUGGGCGUAAAGAGCUCGUAGGCGGCUUGUCGCGUCGUCCGUGAAAACCCACAGCUCAACUGUGGGCUUGCGGUCGAUACGGGCAGGCUAGAGUUCGGUAGGGGAGACUGGAAUUCCUGGUGUAGCGGUGAAAUGCGCAGAUAUCAGGAGGAACACCGGUGGCGAAGGCGGUUCUCUGGGCAUUACCUGACGCUGAGGAGCGAAAGCAUGGGGAGCAAACAGG
rnacentral:rRNA from 1 species